AGAGACUUGCUUCCUUCCUCUCUCCUCAUUUCUGAUUUCUCACCCCUCAGUCUUCAAUGCUAUCUCCUCUCUCAAACAAUUUUCCACUUCGUUUGGAUAGUUGUUUGUUCGUGUGUUUCACUUUCCUUACAGUUUGUGGUAUGUAUAACUCAUCUAAUCCCUUUUUAAAAAUUAUUAUUACUAUUAUUUACGUCAUAAUUAGUUCGUGUUAAUGUACAUUAUUUAUGUCUUAAGCAAUACUUCUUGUUGAUAUAUGCCUAUGUGAUUUAAAUUACAUAUCUUUAUUUUCUUCAAUCCUUCAUAAAUUAUUCUGGUUGCAAAUAUGUCAAGCAAUAGAAACCAUAAGAACACCCACGCUUUUCAAAAUCAAAUGCUGGCAAAAAUGCUAGGCGACGCGAGCUAUACAGAUUGAUGCCACCUGAGGAAAAAGAGAUCUUUUUAGCACGUCGACUAGCAAAGAGAGCUGAAUUGAGAAGACAUCAUUUGUCUGAAAUUUCAAAGAAUAAUGAUUUGGCUAUUGUGUCGUCUUCUGAUUCUACCAAUAAUUCUGCUGGACAGAGUUAUGUUCUUAUAAGAGAUUCCAUGUUUGUCCUAUCAGAAAUAGGUAAUACUAUGCCAUCAGAAAUUAAUUAUAUCAAGUUAAAUGUCAAUUUUGUAAAGCCAUAAAAUUUGAAUAUGAACCACCUGCAUUUUGUUGUA